CACGUGUAGCAGUGAAAUGCGUAGAUAUGCGGAGGAACACCGAUGGCGAAGGCAGCCCCCUGGGAUAAUACUGACGCUCAUGCACGAAAGCGUGGGGAGCAAACAGGAUUAGAUACCCUGGUAGUCCACGCCCUAAACGAUGUCAACUAGCUGUUGGGGCCUCCGGGCUUUAGUAGCGCAGCUAACGCGUGAAGUUGACCGCCUGGGGAGUACGGUCGCAAGAUUAAAACUCAAAGGAAUUGACGGGGACCCGCACAAGCGGUGGAUGAUGUGGAUUAAUUCGAUGCAACGCGAAAAACCUUACCUACCCUUGACAUGUCUGGAAUCCCGAAGAGAUUUGGGAGUGCUCGCAAGAGAACUGGAACACAGGUGCUGCAUGGCUGUCGUCAGCU
rnacentral:rRNA from 1 species